rnacentral:rRNA from 1 species
UACGUAGGGGGCAAGCGUUGUCCGGAAUCAUUGGGCGUAAAGCGCGUGUAAGCGGCUUGGUAAGUCUGCUCUGAAAGCCCGGGGCUCGAACCCCGGGGAGGCGGGUGGAUACUGCCGAGCUCGAGUCCGGAAGAGGCGAGUGGAAUUCCUGGUGUAGCGGUGAAAUGCGUCGAGAUCAGGAAGAACACCAGUGGCGAAGGGCAGCUCUGCG